AUUAAAGAGAAAGGUCGGUGGCUACAUGCCACCUACCCUUUCUCUUUAGUCUUCCUUUUCCUCUUACCUUUCUAUCGUCAUUUUCUUCAAGAACUUUCUAGGACUAUACGUAAUUAACUUGCUCCAAAUCCCCAGAGCCCUCAAAAUUAAACACAAACCAAAUCAAAAUAUCAUAAAACCCAAACCAUAGAAUCGAUCGAUCAUGGCGCGAGGAAAUCAACCGGAGACGGAGUACUUGCUCGGAUUUCAUUAACAAUAUCCGAUUCACCAGAGUCAAACGAGUCGCGUCUGACGCCGGAUUUGUGGCCAAGGAGCUGUUGAAGAGCACCGUUAGUUUGAAGCCAACGUUAUUGGUGGUGGUGGUGUUGAGUUCAUCCAUGGGAUGUGGUUAUGCUAAACGAUCAGAAACAGAAUUGGUGUAUCACUUUCAUUGUCAUCCAAUACAUACGUAAGUAAUUUGGUUAGGUUUGAAAUGAGAAUAACCUGAAAAGGUAGGUGUAUAGUUGGAAAGUUAUUCUUUUCGAUUUUUGAGUAAUUGCAUGUCAAUCCCUGAAGUAUGAGCCUUUUUUGUGUUGUUCAUACUUCAUACUAUUCUAAAAAUGUGAAUGAUGUAUUUGAAUAUCUAGAACAGCCUAGAGCAUGGAGAACAAAAAUCUAAUCUAUUUGAACGAUACUAAUGGCAAAACAAUAGCUUUUACAAUAUAGGUAAAAGUGGUUAGGCUUUGGAGAAAACCAAAUCCUAAAAAAAGUUGGUGAGAUAUGGGCUAUUGGGAUGGUGCUCAUGGAUGAAACGGUACAUCGGGUAAGACAACAAAUGUAGUGUACAAGGAGAUUUUUAGUGAAACGCAUGAUCCAGUUUCAGUUUUACGGAUUAAGGUGCCCUUUCAUGGUGGUGUGAAAUGGGAAAUGGAGAAGAGUUAUUUAUUUAUUUUUCUCUAAAAAGAUGUUGUGGAAAACUUACGUGGUAAAAUGGGUGAUUUCAAAAAGUAUUUAUUUGUGAUCAUUUGACCAUGAGUAAAUAACUCUGCUACUAAAAAGGGCAAUCACAAACUCACUAUCCGAGAGGGGUUGAUGAUUUACAUACAUGUGGAUCACUAUAGUCAAAAGAUUCGGCUUAUUUGCUAUCAGUUUAUGGACCACCUUGCAAACAUCAAAGAAUGAGUGAUUCAUACUUUGUUUUGUUAGUCGACAUGUGUAGAAUGAUUAUUGUUUCUUUUUAUUUUAGGGGCUAUGAUGAUAACUCACUCUUUGUGCAUUGUUCAGUGUUGGCAUGUAUUUGUCUGUGCUUUUACAUCACAAUCGGAUUAUGCAGCGAUGGUGGUUUAUCCUCUUCAAAAAAGAUGAGAUAUUCCGUGUCUUGGCGGGGCAGCUGACAUGCUGUGGUGUUUAAGUGCUUGCAUCACAGUCGGACUAUGCAGCCAUGGCAGUUUAUCCUCUUCAUUUUGAAGAUGAGGUAUUCCGUAUCUUGGCGGGGCAUAAGCUUCACAUAUCUGAGCCUCAUUCUUCCUUUGUUUUGUAUGCUAACGGUCCUUUGUUGACAUUGUCCUUUUAUUUUUUCCCUACUUGAAUAGUUUUGGCUUUAUGCUUAGCUUGAAUGCCUCUUCGUGUGAUUUACUUUGCUUUGACAAAGUGAUUGGGCAAUAUACUCAUGCUAUGAUGCUAGGAGAUGGUUGCCAUGAUCACAUGGCAACCAGUAGGUUUGUAACCUGUUUUGGGUUUGUUUUCCUCUAGGUGAAAUGCUCUAAAGGAACCACAAAACUCUACCAAAUCUUGCAAAGCUAGGAUGGGAUCGCAGGUGUCACUUCAAGGUAUUUUUUGGUUUAUUUCUUUCAAAGGUAAAUUCACACGUCACGCGUGUGACUUGAUGUCGCCACCGCAACGCGCGGCGCUGGUAAAAAACUAGUUUACAAUAACAAAGAAAUUUUAUUCAGCUCUAAAACAUAGUAAAAGCAAGAGUUCUAUACUCAUUAAAAAAAUCACAACUUCCUAAGGUAAAUAACUAAUGAUACAAACACACGUUUAGCAAUAUACAAUCGUAAUCAAAACAUGUGCCACUCAUCAGUCGAUCUAUCACUGGUAGCCACACAUCAAUUGCAUAAAGCUGGUAGCAUACAAAGGUCCACCUGGUGAACAGUACAAAAAUACUCUUAUCAAAUCAUUGUCACACCUAAGGUAUCUAAUACCACCCGUUUAUUUGACGUAACAUACACGGGGGCAGACCCAGGUAUAAUUCUGGUUGGGCGGGCGCACCCCUUAUAAAAAAUAGUAUAUUUUUUAGGGAAAAAACCCGACCGCACCAUUUGAAAAUGCGCUUGAACCACUCAUCCGCACCCUUCAGCAAAUAAUUUCUGGGUCCGCCACUGAACAUAGAAUACCCAAAUUUGCAUGAUGUGUUAAAAUGGUCCCCGUAAUCAAAUAUUAAGUUUACUAGGACGUAACAUGUAAGACACAUAUUUGCUUGCCGUGUUAAAACAAUCAAAAGAGUCCCUAAUAUUUUAUAUCGUUAUUGUUUAAAAACCCAACCUUCAAAUAUGUUAUGAACAUCUGAAUCGAUUUGAAAUAUUAUGAGUAUUUAAAAUUUAAAAAAAAUGAGUCAAACUUAUUGAUUGUUACGUCUUAAAAAUGAUAGAGCUCCAUCAGAUUUGUAAAGCUAUAGAGUUAUCAUAUAAAAACGUGCUAUAUUGGCAAUUCUAGCAACAAUUAUCCUCAUUUUCUAAAAUAGUUGAAGAUAUACCACACAUUCCACACAAUAUAUAUUAUACAAUUUGAACAUCAUGUUACUUUACAUUAUUGUUACGCAAUGUGAGAAUAUGUAACCCAAUAACACAAUUGUAUUCCAAUUAAACAAAAAUAUAUGAAAGUGAAACAAACCUACAACUUGAAUCUCACAUCUCUUAAAAGUAAAGAUAAUUGAUCAAGAUGAACUAUAACUCUCAACAGUGACGGAUCCAUAAUUUUUUUCUAACGGAUUUAUUUUGAUUGAUUUUCACUAAUUCUCACUAAUUUUUCCCAAAUCAUUUAAUGUUUCCACUACUUUUUUCCAAACCAAGGGAGUUUCUGGAAAUCCAGGAAACCCCUGGAUCUGCCACCGAGUCUCAAAGAAAUUAAAAUAUAAUAUCAUUCAUAAAACAUGUAUGCUAAACAAUUAUUUCCAUAAAACAUGCAUGCCCCAUUUUAUGUAAAGUAGCAUACUAUAUCAAUAGUAUCAUUUAUAAAACAUGUGUCAUACUCAUUAUUAUGAUUGUGAUUAUAAAGCAAUUACUUUUUCAAACACAAAAUGGGGUUUGGCUUCAAAUUAAAAGGCGAUUCUAAUUGGUCAAAUCUUAUAAUUUAUUUAAUUAUCAAUAUAUGACGAAAAUGACUUUAUUUAUUUGGAAUAUAAUAGGAUGAGUGUUAUAUGUGGUGAGUGUCAUUUUCCAUACUUUAAUACCUUGCACAUGGGACAGUCCCCUUCAAAUUCUGGCACGUGCCAGUAAUGCCCCACAAACAAUAUACCUUCCUCUCAAAAGAAGUAGGUGCUCUUUACAUCACUAAAAAUAUAAAAAUAACUAAAAGUCAUUGUUACAUCAUGCCCACAAUGCGUGGGUCACACAAUAUAAUUGAAUACAACCAAAAUUAAUGAUUUGGUUUCAAAACUACUGUUCUAGUGGUGGUUACGGGUAUCUAAGUUUCAUUUAUGGUGAUUUCGGGUGAGUUUUUCUCUUCAGAUCUCAAAUUCGAGUCUGGUGAUAGGGGUUUCUUAUUGAGGGGUUUACAUUGAGGAUCUAUUAUGCGAGGGGGCUCUCUAGCGCGGACUCGGUUAAGACAACGUAUACUAGACCUCCCGAUAUUCGCGAAUAAUUCAUAUCUUUCAAAAAGAAUGAUUUGGUUUCAAAAUUAACUAAUACUUUUGAUUCUGAUUAGGGUGGUUUAAAACUAAAUCAAGUUAGUUGACAUUUGUCUUUUAUAUACUAUCGAGCCCUCAGGUCACUGAUGACGGUCAAAGAGUCUCGUUGACGUUGCAAGAGUCCUGCCCUUCUGUCCUACAAGAAAGAAAACUGUUAGCCUCGUCACGGAGGACCCCUGAGGGGGAAUCCGUGACCAAGCUCCGGCGCGAGAUUAAGUAAACUUGCCGGGGAUAACGAGAAGCCUAUUCUGACGGGAGUUGUCGUCGGAAUAUUCUCCUUGGUGUGAAUUCUAAUGUAUAUAAGUAAAUGUAUGUGAGUAAAUGCUAUCCGAGGUUGUCGGAAUAAAUGAGGCCACAAUGCAUUCAAUGAAAGAGGAUUUUCUGUGUU